rnacentral:lncRNA from 1 species
CGGCCCGCUGAUGCAGCUCCAGUUCGGGUCGUUCCCCGUGGUGGUCGGCUCGUCGGUGGACAUGGCCAAGUUCUUCCUCAAGACCCACGACGUGGUGUUCACUGACCGGCCCAAGACCGCCGCCGGCAAGUACACCACCUACAACUACCGCGACAUCACCUGGUCCCCCUACGGCGCCUACUGGCGGCAGGCGCGCAAGAUGUGCCUCACCGAGCUCUUCAGCGCCAAGCGCCUCGAGUCGUACGAGUACAUCCGCGCCGCCGAGGUGCGCGCGCUGCUGCGCGACCUGCACGCCGUCUCCGGCUCCGGCCGCGCCGUCAUGCUCAAGGACUACCUGUCCACGGUGAGCCUGAACGUGAUCACCCGCAUGGUGCUCGGCAAGAAGUACCUGGACAAGGAGGUGGCUGCCGGUGGGUCUUCCGUGACCACCCCCGAGGAGUUCAAGUGGAUGCUCGACGAGCUGUUCCUGCUCAACGGCGUGCUCAACAUCGGCGACUCGAUCCCGUGGCUCGACUGGAUGGACCUGCAGGGUUACAUCAAGAGGAUGAAGAAGCUCGGCAAGAUGUUCGACCGGUUCCUGGAGCACGUCGUGGAGGAGCACAACCAGCGGCGGUUGCGCGAGGGGAAGAGCUUCGUCGCCAAGGACAUGGUCGACGUGCUGCUGCAGAUCGCCGACGACCCUACCCUGGAGGUCGAGCUGAACAGGGAGAGCGUCAAGGCUUUCACUCAGGUGAGUUGUUGUCCGAAUCCGAACCUGAUAUCAGUAGGAUUCUGGUUCUCCUGGUUCUGUUUUACUAGAAUAUACAUCGGAAAACAUUAUCUAUUCAGAUCAGUACUUUGUGUAGCUUUGGUCUAAUAAGUAAUAACCUUGUCAACCAACUUUAAAGAAUCAUUUGGGCAUGUGGCACGCGCAGGACCUCAUCGCCGGCGGAACGGAAAGCUCGGCAGUCACCGUCGAGUGGGCCAUCUCAGAGCUCCUCAAGAAACCCGAGGUCUUCGCCAAGGCCACGGAGGAGCUGGACCGUGUGAUCGGCCGCGGCCGCUGGGUCACGGAGAAGGACAUUCCCCAGCUCCCGUACGUGGACGCCAUCGUCAAGGAGACGAUGCGGCUGCACCCGGUGGCGCCCAUGCUGGUGCCUCGCCUGUCCCGCGAGGACACGACCGUGGCCGGCUACGACAUCCCCGCCGGCACGCGCGUGCUCGUCAGCGUGUGGUCCAUCGGCCGCGACCCGACGCUGUGGGACACGCCGGAACAAUUCAUGCCGGAGCGAUUCCUCGGCAGCAAGCUCGACGUGAAGGGGCAAGAUUACGAGCUGCUGCCGUUCGGAUCCGGCCGGCGGAUGUGCCCCGGGUACAGCCUUGGCUUGAAGGUCAUCCAGGUGAGCCUUGCCAACCUGCUGCACGGUUUUGCGUGGAGCCUCCCCGAUGGCCUCACCAAGGAGGAGCUGAACAUGGAGGAGAUCUUCGGCCUGUCCACGCCGCGGAAGUUCCCGCUCGAGGCCGUCGUCGAGCCCAAGCUGCCAGCACACCUCUACGCCGAGGCUUGAUCGAUGCGUUUGUCUUCAGUAGAGGCGUGGUUCUUGCGUUCCUGCCCAGUGUCCACUUGCUGCUUGCUUUUUUGUUGCUGUUGCUCUACUUUGUAAGUUCUUUUCAAGGUUUGCGUGAUGUAUGGCCUUAUGACUAUAGCGGAAAUGCGGAAUAACUUCCCUAAGCAAGUGUCGCCAGAGUACACAACUACACACUGCAGUCAUCUCCGAGGUUCGUAAGUCUCUUUGGCCGCUAUUUUGCAACCUUGAUAAUAACUUCUCCAUAGAUAAAGCUAUUUUCUACCACGGAUAUCUAUCCAUGAUUGAAAAUAAUUUUAGGCUGCAAUCUUGACACGAUCCGUCGUAGCAACAUUUCCUAGACUUGAUAAGCUGUAAAACAUAAAUCAGCUAAAUCCUACCGGGACCAAACAAUAAAACCGCUAGCACCGACCCAAACGUCACACCACCACCAUCAUAUACCUAAACCUCAAAAAAGCUUGGAAAUCAGGACAUGUUUCUCAGAGCAGGGAGCAUAUAUAUGGAGUAGUGUCUGUAUUGGAUAAUGAACGAUUGAAACAAUUGUAUUUGAUAUAUCACGAAUGACGACGAGUCACAAGGGUGACAAUGAAAGUAAUUUUACUUCACCGCGGAAGCCAUCCAAUUUUGAUAUAUCAUGCAUCACAAGGGUGACAAUGACAGUAGUUUUACUGCACCGUGGAAGCCAUCCAGCAAGUUCCAAACAAGACUAAUAAAAAUCACAUUUGAGUGUGCAAGAUGUGGACAUAUUUUUGAAGGGCCGAUAUCGAGGAAUGAUAAAGAUAACAAAAGCUAGAUGAUUUUUUUUCUAGGCUCCAUACCUGAUACUUGAAUAAAUGUAAAUAGAAUAAGGAGAUCCGGUCGAAUAACUACCUAUAUAAAUGGUGGCUAUUCAGUAUGCACACUUUGUUCCACCUUUUUACGUAUUGUGGCAUGAAUAUCUCAUACUCCUGGCCUAUGAACUGUUCAUGCCUUACUAACAUCAUUGGGUAUCACUAAACAUAAUUUGACUGUGAUUAUUUCAAGAAUGUUGUGUCAAGAUAAAAAAAAGGAUAAACAAAUUGAUAUAAUAUAUUUGAACCCUCCAAUCAUCAUUGUUGAUCUUAUAAAAGAAUAUGUGGGUAUAAUCAGGGUUUUAUGGGAAAGACUAUGUAAAAUACAACGAGAGGACUAAUCACAGAUUCUUAUACACUUUAAUUGUUAUGCUACCCAAAUAGAAUAUGGUCCUGUUCCAACUCUCUCAUGUUGAUGAAUGUCAUAUUACCUUUCAAUCAUCAUUGCUGAAGACUGAAUAAAUUGUCAGAAAACACAACAAGAGUAACUACAUAGCGAGAAAACACCAAUACUGUUUACGAUUGAUUAAGCCAUCAACUUUACGUGAUGAUGUUCUUUGGCUUUGAGUACAUGUCGACUUGUCUCUGUACAUGAUACUUAAACUUGUAUGAUCCUAUUCUUGAACCGUAGUCCUUGUAAUCAUUAUACUCGACUUUUUUUAUAUGUGCUUAAUUCAGCCGAGGUAAAUGUAUUUUGUUUGAUUUUGCCUAUUAAAUAAUGAAAGUAUAAACAAUUUUCAUAAAACAAUAAUCACGGAUUAAAAAAACGUCUGUACAUGUGCAAUAUUUCCGAUGUGUAAAAUUAAGAAGACGUGUUUUAUAUUAAAUACAAUAGCAAGUUAUUUGCCAAUUUACCAAUUUAAUGUAGGUUUCCAUGAGAUAGGGAUGCAAGUGGGGCAGAUUGCGGGCUACCCGCACCCGUCCGCACGAGCCGCAAUCCUAUAUGCGGGAUUAAGCGGCAGCCCGCGUACGUCCGCCAGAUUGUUGCGGGCUCUGCGGCCACCCGCGUGACCGCUGGCACCGCGAAGUGAGUCUUCUGUCGCGGUGUUGCCGUGUUCCUUCUGUUUCCUUGGUUCUAGAAUCGGCAUCGUAACCUCUGCUAUUGUGGUCACCUAGUUCACUUGGUUAUUCAGGUUUGUCUUGCAAUGCUGAAAUUCCACUGAAGCUGAAGUAGGUUCCUGAAAUUUAGAGGAGCAGCCACGCAAGAUUCUGACACUGCCAUUCUCAGACCUUCGCAUGAACUCUGUUGUCCUUGGUUGUAUGAUAUUUAGAAUUUUAGAUAGUGUUGUAAUGUUGUUGGAUUCGCACCACAUAUAGUAGAGAUCAAAUCUCAAUUCUCAAGCGUGUAACUUGCCACUCGACCAGGGUCGUCGCUGGGAAGCACGGCGUCCUGCCCGAUCGGCCUCCACUCCACCACAAACUCCCCUCCCACGCACAGGCCAUAGAUGCUGUGUGUGCCGGCGAGUACUCGGAGAAGGCACAGGAGCUCGGAGAUGGAGGCUUGUUGGCGUGCGCGGGUCCCUCGUAGCGAAUGCCUAGAAUUAAGUUGUGCCAUCGCUGAUGACAAAAUCGGAGGAUGCGACGCGCGGUGUGGAGAGCAGGAGGUCCAUGGUCAAGCUAUCGAGGAUUCGAGGUGCAUAUGACCGGUUGUUGCCGUGUUGGGCGGCGCCGAGGUGCGGAGUGCGCGAACGCGGGUAUGCAGCGCGGCUAGGUUACGCGGGUUGCCCGCAUAACGUCGCGAAGAAGAUGCAGGUUAGAUGCCUUGUUUGCGGGCUUGCAGCGCGAGCUGGCCCAGCGGGCUAGCAGCUCAACCCGUGCUGCUUGCAACUGUACCAUGAGUUGACUGCAAUUCACACUAUACAACAAAUGUCCUUUUACGAACCAUCAUGUAUGUAUCAACUUUGGAGACAGUCAUUUCCUUCUAUCCGAUUCAUGUUGGCAAAAGCAUGCGUUUUUAUGUAUUUUUAACAUUGUCCAUUUGUCUAAAAACAUGAAGUUUCUUUUAUUUUGCUGGUCGUCUGAAUUAUGUGUUAUUGCAAGCUGUCUAUGGCAUCUAUGAUUUUGGAAGACAUCGCUAACUCAUAGAUGCAAACACUUCAAACCAUGUAUAUUAGCUAAUGAUAUUUAGUUGACUAUGAGGCCAUAACUUCAGAAGAUUUCACCUCCAAGCUAGUUAUCUUUCCAAUUUCGAAGAAAUUGCUAUGAUAAACCAUGAGAAACUCAUAAAACUCUGAUGACAAAUUGUUAUAGUAUGGUUGUCUAAAACGACAGCAGGUCUCUCUCAAAAGAGUCAAAAAGGUAGAAAACGCGCAGUGAAAGUCAAGCCUUCAACGUAGGAACGAACCACAUAGAUUUAAAUGUUUAGUGGCAAUAUGGUUCUUAAGAAAAAUCAUAAACACAUCAAGAACUCGACAGAGCAGUUGCACAAGGGCUUUUGUUUACAUCAAGUAGCAAAUCCAUCGCUGUCACCAAAGCAAACUCCAUGGGGCAAAUAAAAAAUUGCCUUUCAGCUCUUUGGUCAGUCCACGGUCAGUCAGUCGUUUCAAACGUGGUCCAGAAGUCUGAUAAUCAAUGGCAAUAGGUGUUUCUCUGUGCUGUCCCAGAAACUCCCCUUGGAAUUAUUGUAUAUCUAAGCAACGUCAAUACAGUAAAAGACCUCCAGAAGAAGUAGGUGAAGCCCACGCGGACCAAAAGAUUAAUGGUCAUAACACCAUCAGUUCACAUUAGAAAUUGCAACUUGCCUAUCGAAUUGCAUCAAAGCAUGCUACCUGCUCUGAAUCUUUCUUUUAGUACUUGACUUGCUACAGAGCCAGUAAUUUGGGGUGUCAUUUCAAGUCAAACGUCAAGUCUAGAGGGUUAGUGAAUUUCUUUCACACUCCGACGAAAGUGCCUUGCCGUUUGAUACAAAUUUCGAAACUAAGUGUUCGACACAAAGUGCUCUGGAAACUUUGCAUGAUUCAUCAAUCAUGGUCCCCCAUCCUCACCACACACACAAACUUUUCAAAAAAUUUCACAUCUCAAAUUUACAUCGAGUCGUGUUACCAAUUGAUGCCACACCAUGCGGCCAUGAACCUCUGACACCUAUGCUCUCCAACUACCUGCCUGGUCUGCUGAUCAUGCAGUAGUCACUUGAAAAAGACACGGUUCGGACUUUGGAGUGCUCCCAGUAGGGUAGUACAUAUAUGUGCAAAUAAACCAGAGUUUGGAGACGGUAAAAGAUCAUCCAAAAAAUACUUUUAAGUGUAUACGGGGUGAAAUGCGAAAGCUGAAUCCGCCAGAAUGCGGAUCUGAACAAAGAGCACAACACACAGAGUGAAAUUUCUGCCACAUCGAACAAUCUGCCAGUGCUCAAGUCGUCGUUCCUUUUGCAAAAGCUGUAGCUUCAUCUGCACGUGUUUCCCGGGAGAUGAUCAGACGAACGUCGUCGUCGUUCCCUCGUCACCGUCUAGUUUUCUUUGGCUCAAGUCGUCUCUGAUUUCCCCAUCUUUUCCCACCGAGUGACACUGCAGCUUCCGCACGCGCUCCACCGCUUCACCCGCCUAUAAGAAGUCCGUAAGCGCCCCGGCACAGCACCAACUCGCCAGGUCUACUCCUCACUUAACCAGCCAUUUCCAGUCUUCACCGCCAUCAGCCGUCUUGAGUCAGCACCGCAGCAGCCUAUCUAGCUCAAUUAUACGUACCAAUCAUGGAGCUUCCACCAUGGGCGUCUUUCCUCGGUGUGGUGCUCGCCACCGUGAUGCUUCUCAAGGCCAUCGUCGGCCGCCACCGCCGCCGCCGCGCGUACAACCUCCCGCCGGGCCCCAAGCCGUGGCCGAUCAUCGGCAACCUGGACCUGGUGGGCGCGCUCCCGCACCGCUCCAUCCACGAGCUGUCCAGGAAGUACGGCCCGCUGAUGCAGCUCCAGUUCGGGUCGUUCCCCGUGGUGGUCGGCUCGUCGGUGGACAUGGCCAAGUUCUUCCUCAAGACCCACGACGUGGUGUUCACUGACCGGCCCAAGACCGCCGCCGGCAAGUACACCACCUACAACUACCGCGACAUCACCUGGUCCCCCUACGGCGCCUACUGGCGGCAGGCGCGCAAGAUGUGCCUCACCGAGCUCUUCAGCGCCAAGCGCCUCGAGUCGUACGAGUACAUCCGCGCCGCCGAGGUGCGCGCGCUGCUGCGCGACCUGCACGCCGU